UACGUAGGGUGCGAGCGUUGUCCGGAAUUAUUGGGCGUAAAGAGCUCGUAGGCGGUUCGUCGCGUCGAAUGUGAAAACCCGGGGCUCAACUCCGGGCCUGCAUUCGAUACGGGCGGACUAGAGUUCGGUAGGGGAGACUGGAAUUCCUGGUGUAGCGGUGAAAUGCGCAGAUAUCAGGAGGAACACCGAUGGCGAAGGCAGGUCUCUGGGCAUUAACUGACGCUGAGGAGCGAAAGCGUGGGGAGCGAACA
rnacentral:rRNA from 1 species